UUCUGCUCUGCUUUAAUGAUCAGCACAGGGUACGUGAUGCUACAUUCUUUUGAUACAGGUGCUGCAUCUUAAGUGCACUUGUACAAUGCAUUGCUGACCCAACAUUCAGUUAAAACUUUUGGUAAAUCUUCUUCUUGGGGCUGAAGCAUAUAGAUUUCUGAGUGAAGAAGCAUUUGCAUUGAAUCAGUGCGGACUGUAGUUAUUGAAAU